rnacentral:sRNA from 1 species
AUCCCCCAAACCAAGGGGGGAUGAGAACCACCGACCGGGGUUCGACACAAAAACGCCGGGAGCGCUUUUGAACAGAGCUUGCUCUGGCCCCGAAGGGGCGAGCGCAGCGAGUCAAUCCCCCCUCACAGCCA